rnacentral:lncRNA from 1 species
GGCCGCUGUCCUCGCCCGACCCCGGCCCGGUCCAGUCCAGAGCGAGCCCGGCACCAAGCCUGGCCAAGAAAGGUAAGCCUCACCCGAGCAGCGCCUGAGCCUGUGCGCAAGGCAACUACUUGACAGGACGCACGGCUCGCUCUGGUCCCUGAGUCCCGAUGUGUCCGGAAGGACUCGGAAACCUGAAGCAGGGGAAGCCGGCCACUGUGGCACCCCGCCUGGACCUGAUCAUGACUUGAGCAAGAAUUGUGCUUUACUGUGGACACCCAGGGCUGUGUCGCCUCCUCCCUCACUGGGGAGUUCAGGAGGCCACAGGUAACCCUGUCAGGGAUGCCCGUGGUGUUGGAUCACCCUCUCUGGAAGCACUCCUAAGGCAGGUCCUUACCAGGAUCUGGCCAGCCUGGGCCUCCGAAGGGCAGGUGCCACGUCUGCAAAGGCUCUGCAAGCCUAGCCCACUGGAGCACCUGCUUGGGCUCCGCCAGGCAGCGGGAAGGCCGAGCGGGCGCACUCACUUCGGACCCGGAUAGCGAUGGCACAUCGUGGGGCGCAGAGGGCAAAGAAGGUGGCGGCGGCCAGGCGCCGGCCAUCAAAGGCCGGGGGUGGUGGCCCGCCGCAUUGCCCCGAGGCCAGGCCAAGGACAUGAAAGGAUCUUUAUCCUCGGGUGACACGGCGGGCAGUUUCCUCCUGCCUCCCCCUCCCUUGUCCCUAAUUGGGGCCGGCUGCUAAUGUGAUUAAAGGCCAGUUAAACGUUUCUCGGAGCAAAGAUUGGGAAGAGGCCGAGACCCCUGCCCCCUCCUUGGGUCACUCCAGGCCCUUGGUCAGGGGGUCGGUGGCAGUGCCAACCCCAGGAUAGCCUGCCCAGGCGCUCCAUGAUUGUUCCCCUCGGGCCUGGAGGCCGCGGGCGAGCAGGCGGGUUUCUGGGGCUUUAUGUAAGCUGGUGGGCUUGCGGCCCGGCCGGAUUUGGGGAUUCUUUUCUCAGUUUCCAUUUUCUGGUCUUUGGAACUGCGCCCUGGGCCCUCAGAGCCCAACAUCCCUCUGGUGCCUGGCGCCGCGGGCUCCAUCCACGAGGGCAGGCCUGGGGGUCUGGGAGUGGGGGAAUCUAGCCACCCAAGACACUGACUCCGGCAGCAGUGCCCCGACACUGUGCUGUGGACAGUCAAAGCCCACGACCUUGCGGAGGCCCGUGUGACCGCGGAGUUCCCACGUCGCCUGCGGUGUGGGUGGUCCCGCGCGCCCCGGGAGGGCUCAUCAGUGUGGCCGCUGCGAUUCAGGCCUGGGAGCCAGUUGUGCCCGCUCUACCCUCCGCAUCCUUUUCCGAAUGUCGCCCGCGGACUCAGACCCUGGGGACCCCCUUCCCAGGCUUGGCCAAAGCGGACAAAGCUGGUGCGCUCUAUGCGUGCAAGGUUAGACUCAAGUCUGGAGCACUAGGGUGCAGAAGCAAAGAGUCCCAACUCCAGCGACCAGCUCCUGCCUGUGGCCUUGAGCCCCGGGGACAGUGAGAACCAAAAGGAACUCCGCGGGCCUUAGUCUACAGAUCCCAAAACCUUUCGCUGAGCUGGCUACCUUGGCCACAGUUUUCUGGGAGUCCCUGGGACUUUGAGACCAUGGUCCGGUGGUAUCCCGGCUCUCUGAGAAUGCAAGUCUGGAUCGGUUAGAACUGGGUCAAGGCAAAUAAAAAACAAAAGGUACUCAAACGGAGGAGUGAACUUCCGAUAUCAGGUGGCAAGGCUGCGCUCACUCCCCGGCCGGCCGCGGUGUUAGGAUCUGAGGGGUCCGAAGGUGCUAACAGGUGGAUUCCACACAAGUCCCCGCUGCAGGCCAUGCGUGGACCACAACUUCGGGGAGGAGAGGUGGGGGUCUGUUCAGAGCCUCCGUGAGUUUCAGAGAACGAAAACUCCAGCGAGCCUUGAGACAGCCGAGGGCGCGCUGAGGAACCAGGCCGAGCGCGUCUCCAGGGGCUAGAGAGAGGUCAUUUGUCUCCUCCCUUCGCUGCGCCCUGGGGGACCAUCUCGCAGCGGUGUCCAUCAGUCAAGCUCGCCGUUUCAAGACCCCCACCCCCACCCCCAGUGCCUUGGAAAUUAAUGCGAACGGAGCCAGGGACGCUUCCGUGGAAAUUUUACAUAUAAACUGUUUACAUUUUUCCAAUAUUGUCCGAAAUUCUCGGUAGGGAUUUUUUUAUAUCUUAAGCGUCAGCCUGAACACAUCAGAAGAUAUUAAAUGAAAAUGAUGUUUUAUUUAAGUAGAACAAAAGCAGACGGCAUUUUUUAUUAUGUCUAGGGAAAUGUGCUGUGGAUGAAAAAAAUUUGUCAUGCUCAAAAUCUACAAUUUUUUUGAGAUUUUAAAAUGUACAUUUUGUACUUUUUUUUUUUGCCAAAAACCAAGGCAAAAUAAUUUUUAAAGCAAAAACCAGAAGCCAAGAAAAACCUAAAAGAAAGUGGAGAGCUAGAAGCCACUAUUUCCCUUCUCCUUACAUUACUUAUUUAUUUGCUUACUUGCUUGCUUAUUUAUUUAUUUUUCUUUUAUUUCUAAUAGUCUGGAAAUACAGCAAAGAUACAAUAAUUUUCUAUUAAAUUAACACAUAGAAAUAACUGAUUUCUGUGCAGAUGGGUGAAGGGACCUGGCUGUCUCACAUGCACAGAAAUUCCUGUUUUCCCUGAUUUUGUUUCCUUUUGCUGCUCAAAGCUUUGUGAA